ACCUGUUCCCAUCCCGAACACAGAAGUUAAGCUCUGCAGAGCCGAUGGUACUUGGACCGCAGGGUCCUGGGAGAGUAGGACGUCGCUAGGC
rnacentral:rRNA from 1 species